rnacentral:rRNA from 1 species
UACGGAGGGUGCGAGCGUUGUCCGGAAUCACUGGGCGUAAAGGGCGCGUAGGUGGCGCGGGCAGUCAACGGUGAAAGUUCGGGCUCAACCCGAAUCGGCCGUCGAUACUCCCGGGCUUGAGCACUGUAGAGGCUAAUGGAAUUCCGGGUGUAGCGGUGGAAUGCGUAGAGAUCCGGAAGAACACCGGUGGCGAAGGCGGUUAGCUGGGCAGUGCUGGAC